GCUUUAUAUUCAAAAUAAAUGAUAUAAAAUUGCAAAUUUUAAGGUACAUUAAAUGUUAAGGCUU
rnacentral:tRNA from 1 species